AUUGAACGCUGGCGGCAUGCCUUACACAUGCAAGUCGAACGGCAGCACGGGAGCUUGCUCCUGGUGGCGAGUGGCGAACGGGUGAGUAAUACAUCGGAACGUACCCUGAAGUGGGGGAUAACGUAGCGAAAGUUACGCUAAUACCGCAUAUUCUGUGAGCAGGAAAGAGGGGGAGUCGCAAGACCUCUUGCUUUAGGAGCGGCCGAUGUCGGAUUAGCUAGUUGGUGAGGUAAAGGCUCACCAAGGCGACGAUCCGUAGCGGGUCUGAGAGGAUGAUCCGCCACACUGGGACUGAGACACGGCCCAGACUCCUACGGGAGGCAGCAGUGGGGGAAUUUUGGACAAUGGGCGCAAGCCUGAUCCAGCCAUGCCGCGUGAGUGAAGAAGGCCUCGGUUGUAAGCUCUUUCGGUGGGGUAGGAAAGUUAGCACAGGAGUAAUACCUUAGUGUAGAUGACGGUACCGGAACUAAGAAGCACCGGCUAAC
rnacentral:rRNA from 1 species